CAGCAGCCCGGUAAUACGUAGGAUCCGAGCGUUGUCCGGAAUUACUGGGUGUAAAGGGCGUCUAGGUGGAUUUCUAAGUCGAUGGUGAAAUCCUGCAGCUCAACUGCAGAAUUGCCGUCGAUACUGGAGGUCUUGAGUGCGGCAGAGGGAGAUGGAAUUCAUGGUGUAGCGGUGAAAUGUGUAGAUAUCAUGAAGAACACCGGUAGCGAAGGCGGUCUCCUGGUCCGUUACUGACACUGAAGCGCGAAAGCGUGGGGAGCAAACAGGAUUAGAUACCCUGGUAGUCCACGCCUUAAACGAUGGGUACUAGGUGCUGGGCCGCAAGGUUCAGUGCCAAAGCUAACGCAUUAAGUACCCCACCUGGGGAGUACGAUCGCAAGGUUGAAACUCAAAGGAAUUGACGG
rnacentral:rRNA from 1 species